UGAGGAAUAUUGGUCAAUGGGCGGGAGCCUGAACCAGCCAAGCCGCGUGAGGGAUGAAGGCCCUAUGGGUCGUAAACCUCUUUUGUCAGGGAACAAAAGCGAGUAUGUAUACUAGUCUGAGUGUACCUGAAGAAAAAGCAUCGGCUAACUCCGUGCCAGCAGCCGCGGUAAUACGGAGGAUGCGAGCGUUAUCCGGAUUUAUUGGGUUUAAAGGGUGCGUAGGCGGCGAUGCAAGUCAGCGGUAAAAGCCCGGGGCUCAACCCCGGCGAGCCGUUGAAACUGCAGUGCUAGAGAAGGCGAGAGGUACGCGGAAUGCGCAGUGUAGCGGUGAAAUGCUUAGAUAUUGCGCAGAACUCCGAUUGCGAAGGCAGCGUACUGGCGCCUGACUGACGCUGGGGCACGAAAGCGUGGGGAUCGAACAGGAUUAGAUACC
rnacentral:rRNA from 1 species